GAUGAAGAACGUAGCGAAAUGCGAUAAGUAAUGUGAAUUGCAGAAUUCAGUGAAUCAUCGAAUCUUUGAACGCACAUUGCGCCCGCCAGUAUUCUGGCGGGCAUGCCUGUUCGAGCGUCAUUACAACCCUCAGGCCCCCGGGCCUGGCGUUGGGGAUCGGCGGAAGCCCCCUGCGGGCACAACGCCGUCCCCCAAAUACAGUGGCGGUCCCGCCGCAGCUUCCAUUGCGUAGUAGCUAACAUCUCGCAACUGGAGAGCGGCGCGGCCACGUCGUAAAACACCCAACUUCUGAAUGUUGACCUCGAAUCAGGUAGGAAUAUCCGCUGAACUUAAGCAUAUCAAUAAGCGGAGGA
rnacentral:misc_RNA from 1 species